AUUAUUUUUCCUUAAAUCUAAGAUUUUUUUUUAAGUGUGAUUUCAGAAAUUUUUUAUCUUAAGUAAAAUCUUAAGAUAUGUAUUUUUUGUCCUUAAAUCUAAGGAAGCACCUCCCCUUCCUUAUCUUUCUAAGAAAAUUCUUAGUUCACAAAUAUCAGUAAAAAGACAGGCUAUAUUUGCUGUAUUUUCUGCAUUUUAAUAUCUUAUAUUGGAUUUUUCAGGAAGACAGGUGAGCCAUUGUAUUGUUAGUAACCCGGUAAAUUACGGCGCUGUCGUUUAUUAGAUGCUAUUCGUUAGAAGAAAGACAACUCGGUUGGGAUUGUACGAACGCUCACGGAAGUAAUAAAGAACAACUGUAUAUUUAUACUUUUAAUGAAUUUUUCUCAAUUAUGAAUGGAUAUUUUGGAUAAAACACACCCACUAAACUGGAAAAUGGUCGUCCAUAUGCACUGGAAACCCAAUGUCGGAUUCCCUGAGAAUGCCUCAUUACCACAGAGUUAUUGCGUUGAACAGUCGUCCUUGAUCAUUAGUCGAUGGAUAGUGGGUCACAAGAAAUGGAUAUAAACGACUGCCGUAUGUCUUAGUUAAAAGAAGCAGAAGAAAAUGGUUUAAUUUGUAAAUGCUAAUGAUGUAAAAACUACACUCAAGAGACAGACCUGGUGACAGUAAUGCAGGUUCAGGAAGUGUUCAUACAGUUCAAUAUAAACCUCUUGAGGGAAUCAUUUGAGGAGACUAACCGUCCAGUGUGUUGGUUUAUAACAUGUUUAAACACAGAUAAUAAUGAGAUAUUGGUACACUCAGAAUCAACGUGGAAACUGUUGGUGAGAUGUGUACAUCAUUCAGCUUUGGAAUCCUGGAACUCAUGAAGUACAAUGUUCAAAUAGCACUCAGUUCAAUGUUUGAAGAACCUUCAAUGGUAUUUCUGUUUUGCUUGAACAGAACAGUACCGACUCCCAUUACAGUUGUAGAAUUAAGUGACGUGGAAGGCACUGUAGCUCAGCCUAAUUAUUAAUUGUACAAGAAUGUAGCCUGUACAUAUACAUGUUGUAUCAAGAGGAAGUGAAAUUAUUUAUAUGCAUGUCCAGAAGUGACUAGCUGUGUACAUGGAUGUCUUUGUAGAAAACUCAUUAUUGUUAAGUUUUAAACCUUUGCUUUAGUUGCUAUAAAAUUUUAUUGUAAAACUGAUGAAAUAACCAGCAUCUUUUAAUAUUCUUAAGGAUCACUUAUUCAUAUGAUGGAUUAUUUCUAUUGCAAUGUACUGCUAACUCACAUUGUUGUCACUGUUAUGAUAUGUCACUUAAGGUAUUUCUGCACGUUUGAAAAACCGGAAGUGAUUGCAUAACGUCACUUAUCUGGAAAACGUAGAAUAAUGCCUGGAUUCGGCGUACGGAAACAAAA
rnacentral:lncRNA from 1 species